GUUUAAAUAGGCAAAAGGGAGCUAGAUAUUGAUUAGGAGAUAAGAGUCCAAAGAUACUAGGACUCUUGCAAUUUUGAUGCUGCCCACCCCACAUCCUUUUCACCCAGGUUUCUCAUGGGAAUUAUAUGGAUUUUCUAAGGCUCUUACAUGCUAAAAAGAAGUGGAGAGGUGGUGUCCAAACUGGUUUAACAUGGGACCUCCUUUGUGGUGCA
rnacentral:lncRNA from 1 species